CGUCGGUAAAAGCAUCUCGAGUUCAGGUUCAGGUACCAAGCAAAUCACAAAUCAAGCAUUGCUGAUCUAAACGAGACAAGCAUCUCGUGCAUGAACGAUGCAAUA
rnacentral:RNase_MRP_RNA from 1 species